rnacentral:rRNA from 1 species
AACACAUGCCAGUCGAGCGCAGUCCUUCGGGACCGAGCGGCGGACGGGUUAGUAACGCGUGGGAACAUACCCUUUUCUACGGAAUAGCCUCGGGAAACUGAGAGUAAUACCGUAUAAGCCCUUCGGGGGAAAGAUUUAUCGGGAAAGGAUUGGCCCGCGUUAGAUUAGAUAGUUGGUGGGGUAAUGGCCUACCAAGUCUACGAUCUAUAGCUGGUUUUAGAGGAUGAUCAGCAACACUGGGACUGAGACACGGCCCAGACUCCUACGGGAGGCAGCAGUGGGGAAUCUUAGACAAUGGGCGCAAGCCUGAUCUAGCCAUGCCGCGUGUGUGAUGAAGGUCUUAGGAUCGUAAAGCACUUUCGCCAGGGAUGAUAAUGACAGUACCUGGUAAAGAAACCCCGGCUAACUCCGUGCCAGCAGCCGCGGUAAUACGGAGGGGGUUAGCGUUGUUCGGAAUUACUGGGCGUAAAGCGUACGUAGGCGGAUCAGAAAGUUAGGGGUGAAAUCCCGAGGCUCAACCUCGGAACUGCCUCUAAAACUCCUGGUCUUGAGUUCGAGAGAGGUGAGUGGAAUUCCAAGUGUAGAGGUGAAAUUCGUAGAUAUUUGGAGGAACACCAGUGGCGAAGGCGGCUCACUGGCUCGAUACUGACGCUGAGGUACGAAAGUGUGGGGAGCAAACAGGAUUAGAUACCCUGGUAGUCCACACCGUAAACGAUGAAUGCCAGUCGUCGGGCAGUAUACUGUUCGGUGACACACCUAACGGAUUAAGCAUCCCGCCUGGGGAGUACGGUCGCAAGAUUAAAACUCAAAGGAAU